rnacentral:tRNA from 1 species
GGAAGCUUAGCUCAGCGGGAGAGCACUCGCUUCACGUGUGAGGGGUCGCAGGUUCAAACCCUGUAGCUUCCA